GUACUGCUGAAGAGUCCCAAACUAGGACGAAACAGCUGCCCAGCAC
rnacentral:hammerhead_ribozyme from 1 species